AAUUAACGCUGGCAGAGUGCAUAACACAUGCAAGUCGAGCGAGACUACUUGAGAUUACAUCAACUGGUAGUCUAGCGGCAGACGAGUGAGUAACACGUAGACAAUCUGCCCCCGAAGGUAGAUAACGCGCCGAAAGGCGUGCUAAUGCGCCGUACUAUCCACUGCGGCAUCGUCGAGGGAGUGAGAGGCCGCAAGGGCCGGUUCGGGGAGGAGUCNGCGACCCAUCAGCUAGUUGGCGGUGUAAUAGACCACCAAGGCUAUGACGGGUACCCGGCCU
rnacentral:rRNA from 1 species